AGAGGUGUGCUCUUGAGAUCUCAUCCUUUUAACCCAUGGUCCACCGGGCAACCACGAAAAGAAAUCCCAAUCCAUACCCUUCCAAGUUUGUACUGGAACGUGGGCUAACUUCCUAAUUUCCUUUGUUAUCUGUUUAACCACUUUUCCAUUAUCAUCAAUUUGUAAACAACAAUUAGAAUCGUUCAGUUUUCCACACACUCCCCCUUCUUCUGCUAGUAAAUAGUCUAAGACCAUUCUAUGUUGAAAGAUAGCAUUCCUCAUCUGAGUGGAUUGAUCAGCCAGAAGAUCCAAGG